ensembl:lncRNA
GCUGCACCCGUGGCAUAUGGAGUUUCCCAGGCUAGGGGUCCAAUCGGAGGUACAGCUGCCAGCUAAUUACCACAGCCAUGGCAACACAGGAUCCGAGCCAUGUCUGUGACCUAUACCACAGCUCACAACAACACUGGAUCCUUAACCCACUGAGAGAGGCCAGGGAUCGAACCUACAACUUCAUGGUUCCUAGUCAGAUUCGUUUCCACUGCACCACAAUGGGAACAGAAGAGAUUCAUAAAGGAAGCCAACAGCGUUGAUCAGACAGGUGCAGAUUUGAAUCUUGCCCCGGCUGUAAGCAAUGGCUUUAACCUGGUAGAGAUUCCUCAUCUGUUAAAUGGACAAAAGUGAUUCCAAUCUCACAGGAAGGUGAGGAUUAAGAGAGACGAGUCUGAAGAAGAACUAGAGACCCACAGUGAGGGGCUGGUGAUGUCCUGGCUGGGUCUCCAGGGGUCUGUGGUCUGAGUCCAGCCCCCUCGGUACCUCUGUGCUCCUUCCCUCCGCCAGGGUGCCACCUGCUCUCAGCUGCACCUGCUAGAGUUCCUGCCCUUGGGGAGCCCCGUGCAACCCCACUGUCACCAUGCCCUGCACAGUCCUUGUCCCCAACCCCUCACCUCCUUUUUGCAGCCAGCAAGACUUGAGGACACAGUCAACCUGGGAGAGACCCAGACCCACCACACGCUCCUCUUUCAUUAUUUCCCUCGUGCAAGGUGAGUGAGGACAGCGCCUCGGAAUGAAAGCGUCUCCUCCAUGCCCUCUCUCAGCAGAGGUCCUAAUUCAUUUUUCAUGGCCCCUUGCAGUGACAAAAGCCGCUGCUUUCUCUCUUGUAAGCGUGCUCCGUGCAGUAAGUCAAAGCUGAUGUGCAUGUUCCCCCUGGGUGCGGCACGCGCUUUGAUUUAAUUUGCCCUGUUGUUUGGCACAGAGCCUUUGCCGCGAGUUCCUCCGCAGACCUGGGGAGGCAGGGCCCUGACAGCGAUGGGGCUCAGUGACAGAUGGGGUUCAGUGGGUAGUGUUUAAAUACUUUGCUGCAAUGAGAAAGGAAGCGUUGGGGAGUGACAGAUGCUCCUGCAGGAAGGCAGCCAGACAAACACACACAUCCUGUUUGUGGGAGCCGGGGCCCCUGAUAAAGCCUGCUUCUGCGGGGAUGCAUUCCUGCUUUUACUCCGUUGGAAUCAGCGGGUGCCCCAGGGGAGCUGUGGGCUUCAGAUACUGGCCGGUGAGCCCAUCUCCUGCAGUCACCAAAGACCUUCUGGUGGGGCUUUGAAUGGACACAUACAGACUUAUACCACUUUCAAGCUCCUUGUCUGAAAACAUGUCAUGCCUGUCUAUUACAGGCCCAGGAGAAAAACCAACACCUUGGAAGUCAGGCUGGAUUCAGAAAGCAUCUCUAUUUAAGAAGUGCCUGGGGUAAAAAGGAUCUGGUGAACCAUGAAUGUGCAGAAACGAGAAGAGAUUCAGGAAAACCAUCAGAGUGAUGUCACUCAAAGGUGGAAAGCAGGGAACUGACUCCAUCCGGUAAGCAAGCACAUGCGUUACUGAGCCCCAGCAAUCGCAGGGGUCUGGGCCAAGAAUGACCUUCCACAUCCUGGUGAACUUUUAAAAAAUUAAUUAAUUAAUUAAUUAUUAUUACUUUUAAGGGCCGCACCUGCAGCAUAUAGAGGUUCCCAGGCUAGGGGUCAAAUCAGAGCUGCAGCUGCCGACCUACACCACAGCCAUAGCAAUGUGGGAUCCUUAACCCACUGAGUGAGGCCAGAGAUCGAACCCACACCCUUAUGGAUACUAGUCAGGUUCAUAACCCACUGAGCCACAACGGGAACUCCCUGUUGUACUGUCUUCGCUAAAUGAAUGGCUGCCCAUGGGGGCCCCACACUGUGAUGUGGAAAAGAAUAUGAAAAAUGGAGUUCCCAUCGUGGCCCAGUGGAAACGAAUCUGACUGGCAUCCAUGAGGACACAGGUUCGAUCCCUGGUCUCGCUCAGUGGGUUAAGGAUCCAGCAUUGUUGUGAGCUGUGGCUAGGUCACAGACGCGGCUUGGAUCCCGUUUUGCUGGGGCUGCAGCGAAGGCCAGCAGCUACAGCUCUGAUUCGAACCCUCGCCUGGGAACUUCCACAGGCCAUGGGUGCAGCCCUUAAAAGAAAAAAGAAAAAGGAAAGAAUGUUUGGCAAGGAAGACAACAGUCACGGUGAAACCAGUGCUUCAGGAGAAUAUUGUGCAAGGAGAUUAUGGCCAUACGAGCGACUGACUAUUCUACUUUUGCCUUCGAGAAUGUUCUGUGACUUGGCACAGGUGUGGUACAGGAUGAGAGAAGAGAAGGUGGUGUUUUAUUUCAUGUAGAGAAGGAUCAUUGGGUAUGUCUGGUUUCUUUAAUUCUUUGAUUCUCUUUUUCUCUUUCUUUUAGCAGAUUUGGGAGUGAGAUGUAUUUGCGAGAGGAGCACAGAUUGUUGGUCCGGCAGGCGAGCUGAGCUUGGAUGGCAUCAAAAUAGGGCAGAGGCUGCUGCUUGGGAGGGAGGUGGCCCUGCCCAGGAAGGCACAGCUGAGCGGGGAGGGCAGUGUAUGCCCGGAGCCCACCCUCAGCCAGGAGUCAUAGGGGAAAACUGAAGGUGACUCAGGGGGUGCAUCUUUAGAAGGGAGUCCAUGGCUUGCUCCCCUGUGGCCUCUUUAACAGCUGGGAAUUCAACACCCCCACCUCACUCCCUUCUCUGACUGGGCAGUGAGCUUCAUUCUGAAACGUGAAUUGAGAUUUGCCUCUUGCAUUUUCUGGAUUCUGUUUUACCGCAAAUCAGACAGGCAUUAACCACCUAGGAGUCCAGAAACUGAGUUUCCUAGGAGCAGCAAGCUGAGUGAUACUGUGACCUUCUGAGGGACAGCUGGGACAUGAGCAGAGCCCAUGUGUAAGAACCACUGAAAAGGUUUAGGCAGGACCAUCUUGAGCAGCCUGGGCUCAAGAGCAUUAUGUGGUCAUGUGAGAAAGAAGUCUGGAUUAGAGUGAAAUAAGGCUAAAGAGAACACAGGGAUAAAAAGAUAAAAGAAGGGAGUAGGAAAGGUCAGAGAGGAGCCAAAGGGACGGAAGAAACCACAACAAGAAAGGCAAGUUCAAAUUCACCUUGAAGAACGUCUGUAUUUGGUUGUCUCAGCUGGGCAGGGGCUGCUACUGGCGUCCAGCGAGCAGAAGCCGGGGAUUCAUCUCCACGCCCUGCAGGGAACAGGAUGACAGCCCCCAGCACAAGGACUGUCCAGCCCCAAAUGUCAGCAUUGCUGAGGUCAGAAACCCCGGCUGGGGAAUGCAGUCAGGAGCAGAAGAUGCAGACCUAUCUGGAAAGUCCCAGCUCCCUCCCACUCACAGGCCACUGGCAUCUCCAUGGAACUGAGCUUCUCUGCCCUCAGGUGACAAGGACAAUGGCAGAGAGCAGGAAAGAUAUGGUGUCUCUCACCCAAAUGGGGGGAUAGAGAGCAUGUUGGAGGGAGAAACAGAGGCUAUUUAAAAGAAAAGUCAAUUUAUAGAUAGGUUCCUGUGUACCAUAUUUUAAAUUCCACAUAUAAGUGAUAUCAUACAGUAUUUGUCUUUGUCUGACUUACAUUACUUAAUAGGAGACUAUUUAGUUGCAUCCAUGUUGCUGCAAAUGGCAUUAUUUCAUUCUUUUUCAUGGCUUAGUAGUAUUCCAUUAUGUAUAUCUACAAAACAGAUACAGAUUCACCAGACAUGGAGAACAGACUUGUGGUUUCCAAGUAGGACGGGGAAGGGAGUAGGAUGGACUGGGAGUUUGGGGUUGGUACAUACAAACUAUUACAUUUAUUUAUUUAUUUAUUUAUUUUUGUCUUUUUGUCUUUUCUAGGGGAGCACCUGUGGCAUAUGGAGGUUCCCAGACUAGGGAUCUAAUCGAGCUGUAGCUGCCGGUCUAUGCCAGAGCCACAGCAACUCAGGAUCUGAGCCGUGUCUUCAACCUACACCACAGCUCACGGCAAUCCUGGAUCCUUAACCCACUGAGCGAGGGCAGGGAUCGAACCCGCAACUUCAUGGUUCCUAGUUGGAUUCGCUAACCACUGAGCCACAAUGGGAAUUCCUAAUCUACUACAUUUAGAAUGGAUUAGCAAUGAGAUCCUGCUGUACAGCACAGGGAACUAUACCUAGUCUCUUGAGAUAGACCACGAUGGAAGAUAAUAUAAAAAAUGGAAAUAUAUAAGUUAUCACUGGAUCACUUUGCAAUGCAGUAGAAAUUAGCACAACACUGUAAAUCAACUAUACUUGAAUAAAAAAUACAUUAAAAAAAGAAAAGUCAAGGCAGAAAGAUAAACUACAUGGAGAGGAAAAGUCAAAUUCCAUGAAAUGAGGGGAAAAGUUCAGGGCAGGAGGCUGUGGAAGCAC